UACGAGGGGUGCUAGCGUUGUUCGGAAUCAUUGGGCGUAAAGAGGAUGUAGGCGGCCAUAUAAGUCAGUUGUGAAAUCCCCGGGCUCAACCCGGGAAGUGCAAUUGAUACUGUAUGGCUUGAGUAUGGAAGAGGGUAGUGGAAUUCCAGGUGUAGUGGUGAAAUACGUAGAUAUCUGGAGGAAUACCGGUGGCGAAGGCGGCUCUCUGGGACGGUACUGACGCUGAGACGCGAAAGCGUGGGGAGCAAACAGG
rnacentral:rRNA from 1 species